rnacentral:rRNA from 1 species
CAGCAGCCGCGGGAAUACAGAGGGUGCAAGCGUUAAUCGGAUUUACUGGGCGUAAAGGGCGCGUAGGUGGUUAUUUAAGUGAGAUGUGAAAGCCCCGGGCUUAACCUGGGAACUGCAUCUUAUACUGGGUAACUGGAGUGCAGUAGAGGGUAGUGGAAUUUCCGGUGUAGCGGUGAAAUGCGUAGAUAUCGGAAGGAACACCAGUGGCGAAGGCGGCUACCUGGACUGACACUGACACUGAGGCGCGAGAGCGUGGGGAGCAAACAGGAUUAGAGACCCCAGUAGUCCCUGUCUCUUAUAC